CACCAAUCCCCAUCAAGCGGUGGCAUCUUCCCGCCAAUAAUUGACUUAUCAGCCGUUCCCCCCCCACAAUGACACAAUAUUCUAUCCCUGAACACUAAGGGCCUGAACUCGCCACAUAAGCGCAGACUAGCAUUGGAGGAAGCAAAGAAACAUAAAGCCCAAAUCGCCUUCUAUCAGGAAACCCAUUUCAAAUGGGGCAACCGCCCCAAAUUCUGCUCCAACGCAUUUCCCCAC